rnacentral:rRNA from 1 species
AGUGAACGCUGGCGGUAGGCCUAACACAUGCAAGUCGAACGGCAGCACAGUAAGAGCUUGCUCUUACGGGUGGCGAGUGGCGGACGGGUGAGGAAUACAUCGGAAUCUACUUUUUCGUGGGGGAUAACGUAGGGAAACUUACGCUAAUACCGCAUACGACCUACGGGUGAAAGCAGGGGAUCUUCGGACCUUGCGCGAUUGAAUGAGCCGAUGUCGGAUUAGCUAGUUGGCGGGGCAAAGGCUCACCAAGGCGACGAUCCGUAGCUGGUCUGAGAGGAUGAUCAGCCACACUGGAACUGAGACACGGUCCAGACUCCUACGGGAGGCAGCAGUGGGGAAUAUUGGACAAUGGGCGCAAGCCUGAUCCAGCCAUACCGCGUGGGUGAAGAAGGCCUUCGGGUUGUAAAGCCCUUUUGUUGGGAAAGAAAAGCAGCAGGUUAAUACCCCGCUGUUCUGACGGUACCCAAAGAAUAAGCACCGGCUAACUUCGUG